AUUUGUGUUUUCUAAUUACUAUCUAAAAAAAAAUUGUGUACUCGUACUCUGAUUAUUAUUUUGUUGGGUGGCUUUGAAUUGAAAAGUCUAAUUUUUGGAUUGUAUAGACGGUAUAGGUUUGCACAGAAUUCUCCCCAUCAGCAACAGCAACAGAACAGAGCAGCUUCCCUGCUUUCUCAUCUGCUGCAUUCUAUUUUUAUGGAAUAAAAAAUAACUAGUGCGGUCAGUUCAAGAAAGAGAUAGUUAAUCAUCACUCUUUCGGAUUUUUUUUCUUAACAGCAUUUGGAAUCUUUGGUACUAGCAACUACCCUUUUUAUUACCACCAUAUUGUUUUUUUCAUCCUCAAUUAGUAUAUUUUACAUUUGCUUGUUGGUUAUACUAUUAUGGCCUCUUAAACUGUUGGUUUCAACCAGU
rnacentral:misc_RNA from 1 species